GUGGCUUGAACCAGGAGCAGCUGGAGGAGAGGAGGGGAGAGUGAGGGCUCUGUGGGAGAAGGCCUGCAAAAGGCAACUCCUCUAUGGAAUGUGGAGCCUCAGAGGACAAAGUGUCUCUAUUGCCAUCUGGCCUCGUAGAGAGUAAAGCAGGAGGCGCUCACGCACUGACCAGGGCUGAGUACAGCUGAGGUUCCUUCUUUGAAAUAAGCAAUGGUGUUCUGCAUGAGACACAGAGGGAUACUGUUUCUGGGGUCGGGGCCAUUUUCUGUCACUGAGUGCAGACCUUGGCUCCAAUCUUCUUGCCAACAAAUCCCAAAGAGCCUCUGACUGGCUACUCCGUGGUACGGGAAGCCUCUGACUGGCUACUCCGUGGUACGGGAAGCCUCUGACUGGCUACUCCGUGGUACAGGAAGCCUCUGACUGGCUACUCCGUGGUACAGGAAGAGUCAGAUUGCAGGUGAACUCUGGGUUUCUGCCGUCCCUGGAGGACUGACCCACAGUACCUCAGAGGAUCGUGUGUGGCUUCAACACGAGCGAAACACAUCUGCUUCUCCCUCUGGCUGUGCUCUGGAAUUUCUGCCUACUCCAUGGAAAAGCAGGGUGGCUAUUCCCACUACUCAAGGAAGGUCUUUCUCGGGCCAGCCUUUUUAAAAGCAGGACGCUGGGAUGAUCUCCAGGACACAUCUAUGAUCUCAGUGGUCUGCCCUGCAGCACGUGGCCUACUCAGCUUGUUCCAUGCUGUGCAUUCACACAGCGAGUGAAUGCUCUCUGGGCGCCAGUGGAACAUCUUUCUCCCCUACCUUGAGCCCUGAGGAUCUGCAUGAGAAGUGUUCUCAUCUUCCUGCGAGGACACUCAGUCCAGGGAAUGCCACCACGUAUGGAAAGGUGGAUGGAUUUCUGGCAGUUGCACUUGGAGACUCCAUACCACAACAUGACUACAGCAGAGGAGAUGGAUGCUGGAGGGUUACAGACGUCUACAAGAGGAAGAGAAUGGCAGUCCUCAGGAGUGUAACUCUCUACAUUCAGUGUUCUUUGCUUCCUGGUGGCCUCUUAAUAGACACCCCCAAGUCUCUGGUGGGGAGACUGAUCUCCCCCAGGGUCUCUCAUACAUUAUAUUUCCUCAGUACACUAUCAAGCCAGGGUCCAGGGAGAUGAAGAAUAGCUGAGGCUUGGAAUUUCACCCAAGUUCCAUCCUUCUUUUUUAUGUGACCUUGAGCAAGCAUCUUAGCCUCAUCUGUGAAUGAACAGGAACAGUACUUGCCAAUACCUGCUCAUACAGGAUUCAGGGGAGAUAUAAACAAGAUGGUAUGCGCAAGGUGCACAGCAAGAGGUACCGCACCCCAAUCUUAAAGCCCAGGGUAAGUCUCCAGAUGAACCCCAAAUGAACCUCCAUAGACUAAUUUCACAAUUGUAUGUAAAGUGCGAAAACGUUCAUAACUCUACCAGUGGGUAUCUUCUCCUUGUAUUUCAAACAUAACUGAAAGGAUUAAAAUCAGCUCAAGAUAGACAUAUUGACUGGGACAAUUGUAGGGGCCCAGAGGGUGACGUCUGACUGGAUAUCCUAUAUCAACGUUUGCCCAGUGGGGAAUACUGUGAUCGACGCAUCUAUGAAUGGAGAGAUGGUCCUGAUGAGGAAGAAGGAGAACUUGCAGCAAAAUUCCCUGAAGGUGUCUCAUCAUUGCUAGGUGCAAGAUUUACCAAAAUCUCCAGGGAAGGAAGGACUCACGGGUCCGUGACUCAGGCUGGGCUGUGGUUCCUGCAUGGGUGUGAGGGGCUUCCUACCAUCAUCCCUCUGUACACCACUUGCCAUGUUUGUUUGUGGGUCCUGUAUUUGCCUACAGAAAUGCUCAAAGUAAGCACGUAGCCACCAGCCAAACCCCCAGCUCCUAAUUUAACACCCAGACACCGUCACUUCAUUUUGCAGCUGCUGGGUUAACAAGCAUUCCCCUAGCAAACCAAAAUUUGUGAAAAAGAUGAUGUUUCUCUUAUUUGUUUUCAAAUGUUUCCAUUGUAUUUUUAAAAAAUAAGACAGUGUUCCUUUUGGGGAGAAGACGGUCUACUUUGGGUUUAAACCAAACCAAAUAAUAUUUAAGGAAACAUUAAAUAAAUUAUUUAUCAUGUUGGUCAACGGGUUGGGAAAUAUAGCUUAGAUAAACACAUUUUUAAGGUCAGCCACUCUAAGGGCUGGGCUUUAUAAAAACAACCUGUGAGAAGCUUUAAUAAAUCUUAAAUAAAAAACACGAAGCAUUUGUUUCCAUUACGGAACCAUCCGCUAUUGCUAAAUAAUGGCCUCUCGAGGUGAGCUUCACCAGAGGCCCCCACACCCAGGCCGAGAAGCUGUACUAGGAAAACCCCUCUGACUGCAAACACCACUGGCCUUGCCUGGCUCUCCGUGAAAACCAUCUAGUCUUGGGGUUGCAUUUAAAUUAGAAAAAUGGACAGAGCUGGCUGACUUGGGUCAUAAAAUUGUCAAAUGAAGAUAAAUUUGUUUCUAUUCAGUGGGAGACUUCACAGUCAAAU